UGCAAGCAACUGGCAGCCAAGCACGAUACAAGUGGAAUUAUGAGGGCAUAUGCCAAACCCAAACUUUUCUGCAUUCUCUUAUUUGUAGAGUUACUGUUUCCUGAGUGGCUUCCAGGUUUAUGUUAAGCUGUUGCUGUCCAACCUAACCAUAGAUAGAAUUUUGUCGACUGCCUAGAAAACCCUGGUGUAAAGCUGCUGCACCCUGGUGGGUCAAUAUCAACAUUGAGCUACCCACUAUGACUCCAAGGUCUUGUUCCUGGUUGUUCAUUGUCAGCUCCUGAGUCACCUCUGUUGCUGGCAACAGGCCAAAAGGAAAGACGUCCCACCAACGCA